CCGCAUGGUGGGGGUUGGAAAGAUUUUUCGGUCUGGGAUGGGCUCGCGGCCUAUCAGCUUGUUGGUGAGGUAAUGGCUCACCAAGGCGUCGACGGGUAGCCGGCCUGAGAGGGUGACCGGCCACACUGGGACUGAGACACGGCCCAGACUCCUACGGGAGGCAGCAGUGGGGAAUAUUGCACAAUGGGCGGAAGCCUGAUGCAGCAACGCCGCGUGAGGGAUGACGGCCUUCGGGUUGUAAACCUCUUUUAGCAGGGAAGAAGCGUGAGUGACGGUACCUGCAGAAAAAGCGCCGGCUAACUACGUGCCAGCAGCCGCGGUAAUACGUAGGGCGCAAGCGUUAUCCGGAAUUAUUGGGCGUAAAGAGCUCGUAGGCGGUUUGUCGCGUCUGCUGUGAAAUCCCGAGGCUCAACCUCGGGCCUGCAGUGGGUACGGGCAGACUAGAGUGCGGUAGGGGAGAUUGGAAUUCCUGGUGUAGCGGUGGAAUGCGCAGAUAUCAGGAGGAACACCGAUGGCGAAGGCAGAUCUCUGGGCCGUAACUGACGCUGAGGAGCGAAAGGGUGGGGAGCAAACAGGCUUAGAUACCCUGGUAGUCCACCCCGU
rnacentral:rRNA from 1 species